UAAUACGGAGGAUCCAAGCGUUGUCCGGAUUUAUUGGGUUUAAAGGGUGCGUAGGCGGACUGAUAAGUCAGGGGUGAAAGCCGGUAGCUCAACUAUCGAAUUGCCUUUGAAACUGCCAGUCUUGAGUUUUGUUGAGGUAGGCGGAAUGUAUCAUGUAGCGGUGAAAUGCAUAGAUAUGAUACAGAACACCGAUUGCGAAGGCAGCUUACUAAGCAAAUACUGACGCUGAGGCACGAAAGCGUGGGGAUCAAACAGGAUUAGAUACCCUGGUAGUCCACGCCGUAAACGUUGAAUACUUGCUGUUAGCGAUAUACAGUUAGCGGCUCAGCGAAAGCGUUAAGUAUUCCACCUGGGGAGUACGCUCGCAAGAGUG
rnacentral:rRNA from 1 species